rnacentral:rRNA from 1 species
UACGUAGGCAGCGAGCGUUGUUCGGAGUUACUGGGCGUAAAGGGUGUGUAGGCGGUUGUUUAAGUUUGGUGUGAAAUCUCCCGGCUCAACUGGGAGGGUGCGCCGAAUACUGAAUGACUUGGAGUGCGGGAGAGGAGAGUGGAAUUCCUGGUGUAGCGGUGAAAUGCGUAGAUAUCGAUCGGAACACCCAUGGCGAAGGCAGCUCGCUGGCCUGCAACUGACGCUGAGGCGCGAAAGCCGGGGGAGCAAACAGG